GAUGAACGCUAGCUACAGGCUUAACACAUGCAAGUCGAGGGGAAACGACAUCGCAAGCUUGCUUUUGAUGGGAGUCGACCGGCGCACGGGCGAGUAACGCGUAUCCAACCUGCCCAUCACUUGGGAAUAACCUUGCGAAAGUAAGACUAAUACCCAAUGAUAUCCCACGAAGGCAUCGGCAUGGGAUUAAAGAUUUAUCGGUGAUGGAUGGGGAUGCGUCUGAUUAGAUUGUUGGCGGGGUAACGGCCCACCAAGGCAACGAUCAGUAGGGGUGCUGAGAGGAAGGUCCCCCACAAUGGAACUGAGACACGGUCCAAACUCCUACGCGAGGCAGCAGUGAGUAAUAUUGGUCAAUGGGGGAGGGCCUGAACCAGCCAAGUAGCGUGCAGGAAGACGGCCCUAUGGGUUGUAAACUGCUUUUAUAAGGGAAUAAAGUGGGUCACGUGUGACUUUUUGCAUGUACCUUAUGAAUAAGGACCGGCUAAUUCCGUG
rnacentral:rRNA from 1 species